GGGACCAUAGCUCAACUGGCAGAGCAAAAGGCUUUUAACCUUUAGGUUCUGGGUUCGAUUCCCAGUGGUCCCACCA
rnacentral:tRNA from 1 species